rnacentral:rRNA from 1 species
GGCAUGCUUUACACAUGCAAGUGGGACGGCAGCAUAAAAGAGCUUGCUCUUUUGAUGGCGAGUGGCGAACGGGUGAGUAAUGCAUCGGGACGUACCGAGUAGUGGGGGAUAACUGUCCGAAAGGAUGGCUAAUACCGCAUAUUCUCUGAGGAGGAAAGCAGGGGACCUUAGGGCCUUGCGAUAUUUGAGCGGCCGAUGUCUGAUUAGCUAGUUGGUGGGGUAAGAGCCCACCAAGGCGACGAUCAGUAGCGGGUCUGAGAGGAUGAUCCGCCACACUGGGAAUGAGACACGGCCCAGACUCCUACGGGAGGCAGCAGUGGGGAAUUUUGGACAAUGGGCGCAAGCCUGAUCCAGCCAUGCCGCGUGUAUGAAGAAGGCCUUCGGGUUGUAAAGUACUUUUGUCAGGGAAGAAAAGCCUGAGGAUAACACGGGUCAGGUCAUGACGGUACCUGAAGAAUAAGCACCGGCUUUAUGGCGUGCCAGCAGCCGCGGUAAU